UCUCCGGUGAAAACUUGGACUUGUACCUGGCAGCGAAAGCACGUGGACGUCACGCUUCGCUUCGGACAGAACACACUUCUCACUGGUGCCUUGCCUUGGAUGAAGUCGUAGACCAGCACCGGCUAACUACAGGUUUUCGAGUCCAUCUGUCCUGUCGUUUUGCACGGCACUGGAGCGUUGACUACAGCGGCCCACGGCGAUUGGUCACGCUUCACCAGUGGACGUACACGUCUUGCUAGCCUUGCAUUUCUACGUCAACGGCAGCUUCCAGUCCACAGACGUCUUUUGCCUGUGGCUGCAGAGCACAUUCGAUUCCCGAUGACGCUGACGGCUGCUAAUAUCGUUGUGCCAUCGAUCGCAGACUUUCGUAAGGUCCUGGAAUCCAUCGAUUGCAAGCACUGGCAAAUCAAGCCACCUUAUGACUUGGAGCACAUGUACAGAAAUAGGAAGGACUUGUGCUCCCUAAAUGUACAAGUCUUUUGCAACGGUAGGGGUGUCAUCAUCCAGCCGACCUCAAAGGGGCCUGGAAGCACGCAUGGCAGCCUCAUCUGGAUGGACUGUGCUCUGCCUGGGAGCUUCAAGGGCAGAAAACUGCCUAAUGGCUGGUUGCUAGGUGACUCUCCCUAUGCCUGAGAGCCAUGGGUGCUCACCCUCCUGUCCGUGGCUGGCCCAGCUAAGCAGCAGUGCAGUGCAGCCCCCACCCAUGCAAGACAAGUCAUACAGUGCACCUUUGGUGUUCUGAGCACGACACAGCAUAUCCGUCCGGCAUGGCAUUGACAGCAAUAGUGAUGAUGUACCACGGGAUCAGGUGCCUCACUGUCAUCUAAUUGUACAGUGUAUCUCGGACAAAACGCACAAGGCCAACAAGUAGACAGCGACUACCAGUGACUGUGUCCUGCUGUUCAAUGUGCACGUCAACAGACAGAAUGCAUUGUGAUAUCUGGAACAGUUUGAAUUGUAUGGUGAGAAUCUGCACAGCUGCAGUUUAAUUGUUGAGCAGUGCAUCAUUCAGCAAUUCCUUGCACUUGAGGAUUCAAAAUUAAUUAAAUUCUGCAUUUAAUAUACAAAACCUUGACAUUAAUGUACAGCACACUGUAGUAGUAGUGUGCAAAUUAAUUUCGGCUACCUUGAAUUUUUAACAUGCUCGUAAAUCAAAGUGCAUGUGUGUCUCUGCAUUUCACUGCCAUUAGAAACAGCAGCCAUGGUCGGCAACCAAAACCGUGUUUUCAUGUUUGGUAGUGCAAGAAUGAAACCAUUGAAGCGGGUAAUUUUGCACUUGGUCGAUAUAGUCGUUCAGGAUACGCGCAUUAGUAUAGCACAAAUGAUUUUCUGUUUAUAUAAGCUCUGGAAAGUCCUUCUCCACGGAUUAUUUAGAUGCAAGAGGAGCGUCACUAUUCCUAGUACGUCCAACAAGCUUUAGCACCUGUGUAAUGUUAUCCCGUCGCCUGUCUGUCCUCUUCAACAGUCACCCUCUCUGCAUGUACUGUGUAAGUUUUAAUUUUUUUUCAUAUAGUGUUUGUUGCCAUAGGUUUCUCCAUUAUGUAAUUGUAUACUCUGCAAAUAGUUUAUCAUCUAUGCAGCUUUGCUCAUUUUACUGCUGAAAGUAUUUAUUGCUUUUUGUAGGGUGAUUAUAGCAUGCAUUUACUUAUGCCUUUUGUUGCGUCUGUACAAUGGUUUAGCCUGAAGAAGGCUGUUGGUAUACUCUAAUCUUGAAACUGGCGACUUCAAACAAAUUUCUAGGCUGAUAACCAUUACUACUAUCAUCAGAUAAGCUGUGAUUGCUCCAUGAAAAUGUAUUUAAGAUUCUGUAAACUGUGCCAGGUAAAUGUUUUUAAAUUAUUUUAUUGUUGUCCAUGUUUUAUGCGCCUGAAACAUAAUUACUUCAUCGUGGUACAUUAUAAAAUGUUAUUCUGCACAUUUCUGCUGAUAAACAUUGCAGCUGAGGCCAGCAGCAAGAUAUACAUGCAAGGCACUGAAGCUUCACAUCACAUGCCUUGUCCAGAAGUGCAUUGAAAUUUUUUUUCGAGCGGAAUGAGAGACUGCUAUACAGCAGUCUCUCAAUGUGCACACUUCUAAACCUUUUUGAGGAGUGUUUUCAGGAGAAGCAAUAGGGUCUUGACAUGUCAACAACAGCAUUUUUUGUACCGAGGAGCUUAGUAACAGCGAAUUGUUUUAUUUAUGUAUUGGUCCAGAAUUUGUCCGACCUGUGCCAAUUUUUCAGCCCACGUCACCUAACAUGGCUUGUUAUAGUGUUGUCAAUGUGCCCGACUAUGUAAAUAAACUAUGUGUCAUAUUGCAGACAUGUACCAAAAUGUGA